CCCCAGUUUCACUUAUGUCAGACAGAAUGUCCGGUGGCUUCCUCACUACGUAGGACAAUUUCACGAAUGGGUCGGACCAAUGUGUUCAUUUUUCAGGUAGUUUCAUCCCUACCAACGAAAGCUUCUUCAGACUAUUUUAUGACCUUUUACUCAUCAAGAGCAAAUGUUGUUGUGAAUAAUAGAUUAAACAUUUCAUAUCCUAAAUCUUGUGUGUAUUUCAAAUAUUCCAAAUACCCAAAUAUUCGGCACGUUUUACCUUGUUU